rnacentral:tRNA from 1 species
GGGAAUAUGGCUUAGUGGUAGAGUGCUUGCCUAGCAUGUAUGAAGCCCUGGGUUCGAUUCCUCAGUACCA